rnacentral:misc_RNA from 1 species
GAACACUGCAAUUGUUCAGUUAUAUUUGUAAUGCUGUUUUAAACGAUUUUCUAAUCACUUCCUCUCUCACUGCAAACUAGUAUAAUCCACAGACUUGGUUGUUGUUGUUGUGUUUGGGACUUGUAUAUAGCGCUGAAUUGGUUCCAUUCUUUUUUGUGCUCGACAUAUGAAGAAAAGGUGGAUACAAGAGUUUUAAACAUUGUAUUACUAUUGUAUAUAUUUUCUUGUAAAUAGUUCAGUUUUUUGAGAUGUUUCAAAAAAUAUUUUGCCGAGUUUUCCUAUGAUCUCAUAACUUCUUGCUACAAGUCAGCCGACUUCUAGUAUCCCCCGGUCAGUCACGUGCCUAUCAUGUGUGCCAACAAUGAAAUGUUCUCCAUUUUUACAACAAAAUUUUGUAUUCAAAACGUCACUUUAUUUUUAGUAAUGAAAUACGAGUAUUCAAUUCAAUAUACACACAUCUUUUUCAUCAUUUUUUUUGUUUGAUAUUUAUUUAAUCAACAUUCUGCAUUUCCCCUACAUUAUUACACUAGCUAUUAUUUUAUUAAUGUUUUUACACAACAGAUUUAUUGUGCAAAGGACCUCAGGAAGCCUCCUAUUCUUCAUACAAAUAUAUGACAUUAUAAUUUUUUGGUCAAUCACACAUUAUAAGCGCACAAUGAUCAUGUAUGUUAGUUCACCCUCGGUUCUUGGAAAACCGGGGGAGGCGGUUUAGCACUAAGUGUUGUUCCUUUAUAUCAGGUACGCCAUGCGAUUUAUUUUUGCGAUGGGCAUUGGAUGUUUGUUUGGUUUUUCUUUAUUUUAAAAAAGAUAGUGCUUACACUGGCCAUGUAGAAUCGGGUUCAACGAGUGAUAUUAUGGGGUACAUCUGUCGAUUUUUAUUUUUCUAUUGAAAAGUUGAAAAAUUACAAAAUUAAAAAAAAACACGAUGUUUUACAUGAAAACUUUAUAAUGUAUGAAAAAAAUCAAAAUAAAGGUUAUGCAAAUGAU